rnacentral:lncRNA from 1 species
UUCUGAGCUGGAUGCAGGCAAGUGAGGAAGCAUGACCCCAAAUGGCUAUUCUGGGACAAUUUCUGAGCUUCAAAGGCUUGCAUUUUGGAUCAGUGCUGAGUUGUCUCUGUUUGGCAGUUGUGCUGGAAGCAGUCCCAGAAUUUCCAGGCUAUCUUAAGAAAGUCUUGAAGAACCAUACAGCACAUGCAUGUGAAGGAGAGAAAUUGCGACUCACUUGCCCACAAAAGACAUCUAUCAGCAUCCUUUCUGCUUUUUAUGGUCAUAAAGUCCCUGAUGAAAACUUUUGUCCAACUCUAAUUGAAACUCCAGGAUGAGUGCAAGGACAAACGCUGGUGUCAGAUAUCGGUGAAUAGUCAAAUGUUUUGACAAGAUCCAUGUCCUGGGAUAUACAAGUAUCAUAUGCUGCUGCUGCUAAGUGGCUUCAGUCGUGUCCGACUCUGUGUGACCCCAUAGACGGCAGCCCACCAGGCUCCACCGUCCCUGGGAUUCUCC